AGAGAGAGAGAGAGAGAGAGAGUUCACUAUAACACUGAGCUGCACCACCCAGGUAAACUAGUACACUAUAACACCAUGCUGCACCACCCAGAUACACUAGUACACCAUGCUGCACCACCCAGAUACACUAGUACACUAUAACACCAUGCUGCACCACCCAGGUAAACUAGUACACUAUAACACCAUGCUGCACCACCCAGGUAAACUAGUACACUAUAACACCAUGCUGCACCACCCAGGUAAACUAGUACACUAUAACACCAUGCUGCACCACCCAGGUAAACUAGUACACUAUAACACCAUGCUGCACCACCCAGGUAAACUAGUACACUAUAACACCAUGCUGCACCACCCAGGUAAACUAGUACACUAUAACACCAUGCUGCACCACCCAGGUAAACUAGUACACUAUAACACCAUGCUGCACCACCCAGGUAAACUAGUACACUAUAACACCAUGCUGCACCACCCAGGUAAACUAGUACACUAUAACACCAUGCUGCACCACCCAGGUAAACUAGUACACUAUAACACCAUGCUGCACCACCCAGGUAAACUAGUACACUAUAGCACCAUGC